UACGGGGGGGGCAAGCGUUGUUCGGAAUUACUGGGCGUAAAGGGCUCGUAGGCGGCCAACUAAGUCAGACGUGAAAUCCCUCGGCUUAACCGGGGAACUGCAUCUGAUACUGGAUGGCUUGAGUUCGGGAGAGGGAUGCGGAAUUCCAGGUGUAGCGGUGAAAUGCGUAGAUAUCAGGAGGAACACCGGUGGCGAAGGCGGUUCUCUGGGAAUAUCCUGACGCUGAGGAGCGAAAGUGUGGGGAGCGAACAGG
rnacentral:rRNA from 1 species